rnacentral:rRNA from 1 species
GUGGAUUCGAUACCCUAGUAGUCCACGCCCUAAACGAUGAUUACUGGACAUUUGCGAUAUACAGUGAGUGUCUGAGCGAAAGCAUUAAGUAAUCCACCUGGGAAGUACGUCCGCAAGGAUGAAACUCAAAGGAAUUGACGGGGGUCCGCACAAGCGGUGGAGUAUGUGGUUUAAUUCGAUGAUACGCGAGGAACCUUACCUGGGCUAGAAUGCGCGUGACCGGUUCUGAAAGGAACUUUUCUAGCAAUAGACACAAAGCAAGGUGCUGCACGGCCGUCGACAACU